UACGUAGAGAGCAAGCGUUGUCCGGAAUCAUUGGGCGUAAAGGGUACGCAGGCGGUCUAUUAAGUCAGAGGUGAAAUCCAACAGCUCAACUGUUGAACUGCCUUUGAUACUGGUAGACUUGAGGAUAAGAGAAGAAAACGGAAUUCCUAGUGUAGCGGUGAAAUGCGUAGAUAUUAGGAAGAAUACCGAUGGCGAAAAGCAAGUUUUCUAACUUAUUCCCGAACGCUCAGGUACGAAAAGCUAGGGUAGCAAAACGGG
rnacentral:rRNA from 1 species